rnacentral:rRNA from 1 species
UACGUAGGGUGCGAGCGUUAAUCGGAAUUACUGGGCGUAAAGCGUGCGCAGGCGGUUUUCCAAGACAGAUGUGAAAUCCCCGGGCUUAACCUGGGAAUGGCAAUGGAGACUGCAAGGCUAGAGUUUGGCAGAGGGGGGUAGAAUUCCACGUGUAGCAGUGAAAUGCGUAGAGAUGUGGAGGAACACCGAUGGCGAAGGCAGCCCCCUGGGUCAAGACUGACGCUCAUGCACGAAAGCGUGGGGAGCAAACAGG